UAAAACCCUAGUUUUGCUACUUAUCAUGAGAAAAAUAAAUAAUAAGAUGAAGUUCAUCUUCAUAUUACUCUCAAGUCUUUUCCUAGGAUGUCUCAUGCUCAUGAAUGUCCAAAGGGACUCAUCAACAAAAACAACCUUCAGAGGACUCAAGUUACAACCACAAGAUUAUAGAAAGCAAAUGAUACUCAAGGCAAAGGUAUCUUCAAAAAUCAACAAGUUUUUAAGUCAAAGAAAUAGUCCCAACACAGACACCAAGUGUUCAAAAGAUUGUGAUGAAAUGCAAGCUUAUAAAUACAGUUCAGAUAGAUCAUCAAGAUCUGAACAACAAAUUUUCAGAAAACCUCAAGAUAUUGAUCAUACUGCAAAAGAGAUUGAAAACCAGUUUUAUAAGGAUUAUACUUAUAAGGGACGACAUCCAAUGCCAAAAGCACCAUGAUAAUGAGUCUAUGUUUUUACCUUAUUUCACAUAAAAGGUUCACAACUCUGAAAACACCGAUGCCUGUGUCCAUGUCGGACACUGACGUAAUAAUAUCGACGUGUAAUGCCGGUAUCAUGUCAGAGCUCACUCACUACUAGACAAUUUCAUUUACCAACUAUAUGUAUAGUGUGUGAUACAUUGCACAAGCCUUACAACAUUGUUUCAAACCAUGUUUCAUUUUUAGUAAUGCUUCUAAAAUUUGCAUGAGGCUCCAAGUCUCUGUCUCUGC